CCUACGGGUGGCAGCAGUGGGGAAUAUUGGACAAUGGGGGAAACCCUGAUCCAGCGACGCCGCGUGAGUGAAGAAGUAUUUCGGUACGUAAAGCUCUAUCAGCAGGGAAGAAAAUGACGGUACCUGACUAAGAAGCCCGGCUAACUACGUGCCAGCAGCCGCGGUAAUACGGAGGGGGCAAGCGUUAUCCGGAUUUACUGGGUGUAAAGGGAGCGUAGACGGCAGCGCAAGUCUGGAGGUAAGUGCCGGGGACCAACCCCGGAAAUGCUCUUGAAACUGUGUAUCUUGCGUGCAGGAGAGGUAAGCGGAAUUCGUGGUGUAGCGGUGAAAUGCGUAGAUAUCAGGAGGAACACCGGCGGCGAAGGCGGCUUACUGGACUGUAACUGACGUUGAGGCUCGAAAGCGUGGGGAGCAAACAGGAUUAGAUACCCGUGUAGUC
rnacentral:rRNA from 1 species